CAUUUAUCCAAUCAGCAAUAUGUAUUAUUACGUGUAUGACAAUUCGAUUUCAUAUUUUGUCGACAACUUUUUUUAUAUAAUUUAUUGUGGCAAUUGGUAGAAUUUAUAUAAUUAAUCAAAGAAUGCAGUGAACUAUAUGAUUAGACAGCUAAUUUGACCAGCAAUUAAUGCAUAUUCACAUUGCUUGCUACUAGUAUCUUUUAAACAAACUAAACAAUCUAUUAUGAAAUUAAUUUUGUUUUCUUUCAAAUUUCAAUUGCAUUUAGAAGUACUAACUUAAAUUCAAAUAUCUAUAACAAGAUUGGAAGAACAAAUACAAAUUGUUAUUUUGGUUAGUUUUAGCAUAGUACAUCUCACCUGAUAACUUAAUAAUUGUAUUCUGACUAAAAAAACAGUACAGCAUCAAGAUUAACUAACUACUUCUACAUUUGUAAAAAUUGUUGACAAUCACAUUAAUAGUUAAUCUUAAUUGUAUGUUUAAAUAAUUUGUUUAAGUUAUUGGUACAUACCAUAAUUAGGGCGAUGUAGUUUUUAUUAAUCUAAAUUGGCAAAUAAAGGUUUUUUUUUUAA